rnacentral:rRNA from 1 species
UACAGAGGGUGCAAGCGUUGUUCGGAAUUAUUGGGCGUAAAAGGCGUGUAGGCGGCUCGAUAAGUCUUCUGUGAAAUCUACGGGCUAAACCUGUAAAGUGCAGAGGAUACUGUCAGGCUAGAAUGUCAAAGAGGAGAGUGGAAUUCCCGGUGUAGAGGUGAAAUUCGUAGAUAUCGGGAGGAACACCAGUGGCGAAGGCGGAGACCUGGGCCGAUACUGACGCUGAGGUGCGAAAGCGUGGGGAGCAAACAGG